rnacentral:rRNA from 1 species
AGCGAACGCUGGCGGCAGGCCUAACACAUGCAAGUCGAACGAAGUCUUCGGACUUAGUGGCGGACGGGUGAAUAACACGUGGGAACGUGCCUUUAGGUUCGGAAUAACUCAGGGAAACUUGUGCUAAUACCGAAUGUGCCCUUCGGGGAAAAGAUUUAUCGCCUUUAGAGCGGCCCGCGUCUGAUUAGCUAGUUGGUGAGGUAAAGGCUCACCAAGGCGACGAUCAGUAGCUGGUCUGAGAGGAUGAUCAGCCACAUUGGGACUGAGACACGGCCCAAACUCCUACGGGAGGCAGCAGUGGGGAAUCUUGCGCAAUGGGCGAAAGCCUGACGCAGCCAUGCCGCGUGAAUGAUGAAGGUCUUAGGAUUGUAAAAUUCUUUCACCGGGGACGAUAAUGACGGUACCCGGAGAAGAAGCCCCGGCUAACUUCGUGCCAGCCGCCGCGGUAAAAC